rnacentral:rRNA from 4 species
CCGACCUUGAAAUACCACCCUUUAAUGUUUGAUGUUCUAACGUGGACCCGUAAUCCGGGUUGCGGACAGUGUCUGGUGGGUAGUUUGACUGGGGCGGUCUCCUCCUAAAGAGUAACGGAGGAGCACGAAGGUUGGCUAAUCCUGGUCGGACAUCAGGAGGUUAGUGCAAUGGCAUAAGCCAGCUUGACUGCGAGCGUGACGGCGCGAGCAGGUGCGAAAGCAGGUCAUAGUGAUCCGGUGGUUCUGAAUGGAAGGGCCAUCGCUCAACGGAUAAAAGGUACUCCGGGGAUAACAGGCUGAUACCGCCCAAGAGUUCAUAUCGACGGCGGUGUUUGGCACCUCGAUGUCGGCUCAUCACAUCCUGGGGCUGAAGUAGGUCCCAAGGGUAUGGCUGUUCGCCAUUUAAAGUGGUACGCGAGCUGGGUUUAGAACGUCGUGAGACAGUUCGGUCCCUAUCUGCCGUGGGCGCUGGAGAACUGAGGGGGGCUGCUCCUAGUACGAGAGGACCGGAGUGGACGCAUCACUGGUGUUCGGGUUGUCAUGCCAAUGGCACUGCCCGGUAGCUAAAUGCGGAAGAGAUAAGUGCUGAAAGCAUCUAAGCACGAAACUUGCCCCGA